UGGGGAAUUUUGGACAAUGGGCGCAAGCCUGAUCCAGCCAUGCCGCGUGCAGGAUGAAGGCCUUCGGGUUGUAAACUGCUUUUGUACGGAACGAAAAGACUCCUUCUAAUAAAGGGGGUCCAUGACGGUACCGUAAGAAUAAGCACCGGCUAACUACGUGCCAGCAGCCGCGGUAAUACGUAGGGUGCAAGCGUUAAUCGGAAUUACUGGGCGUAAAGCGUGCGCAGGCGGUUAUGCAAGACAGAGGUGAAAUCCCCGGGCUCAACCUGGGAACUGCCUUUGUGACUGCAUAGCUAGAGUACGGUAGAGGGGGAUGGAAUCCCGCGUGUAGCAGUGAAAUGCGUAGAGAUGUGGAUGAAUACCGAUGGCGAAGGCAGCCCCCUGGGCCAAUACUGACGCUCAUGCACGAAAGCGUGGGGAGCAAACA
rnacentral:rRNA from 1 species